rnacentral:rRNA from 1 species
CACGUAGGCGGCUAGGUCCGUCGGAUGUGAAAGCCCCCGGCUCAACCGGGGAAUUGCAUCCGAUACAGCCUGGCUUGAGGACGGUUGGGGUGAGUGGAACUCCUGGUGGAGCGGUGAAAUGCGUAGAUAUCAGGAGGAACACCGGUGGCGAAAGCGGCUCACUGGACCGUUACUGACGCUGAGGUGCGAAAGCUAGGGGAGCAAACG